UACGGGAGGCAGCAGUGGGGAAUAUUGCACAAUGGGCGAAAGCCUGAUGCAGCUAUGCCGCGUGUAUGAAGAAGGCCUUAGGGUUGUAAAGUACUUUCAUCGGGGAGGAAAAACAAAACUAAUAAUUUUAUUUCUUGACGUUACCCGAAAAAGAAGCACCGGCUAACUCCGUGCCAGCAGCCGUGGUAAUACGGAGGGUGCUAGCGUUAAUCAGAAUUACUGGGCGUAAAGAGCACGUAGGUGGUUUUUUUAAGUCAGAUGUGAAAUCCCUGGGCUUAACCUGGAACUGCAUUUUGAAACUGAAAUACUAGAGUAUCGUAGAGGGAGGUAGAAUUCUAGGUGUAGCGGUGAAAUGCGUAGAUAUCUGGAGGAAUACCUGUGGCGAAAGCGGCCUCCUAAACGAAUACUGACACUGAGGUGCGAAAGCGUGGGGAGCAAACGAGGAUUAGAUACC
rnacentral:rRNA from 1 species